UACGUAGGGUGCGAGCGUUGUCCGGAAUUACUGGGCGUAAAGAGCUCGUAGGUGGUUUGUCGCGUUGUCCGUGAAAUUCCCGGGCUUAACCUGGGGGCUGCAUUUGAUACGUGUGAUCUAGAGUGAGGAAGAGGGUCGUGGAAUUCCCAGUGUAGAGGUGAAAUUCGUAGAUAUUGGGAAGAACACUGGUGGCGAAGGCGGCGCUCUGGACCGAGACUGACGCUGAGGCGCGAAAGCGUGGGGAGCAAACAGG
rnacentral:rRNA from 1 species